GCCGGAGUAGCUCAGUCGGUAGAGCGACGCACUCGUAACGCGUAGGUCAGGAGUUCGAUUCUCCUCUCCGGCU
rnacentral:tRNA from 1 species